CCUGGGGAGCGGGAGACACCGCUUCGCAGCCCUCGGUUCUGCUUUGCUGCUUGUAGACUCUGCACAGUGGUGGGGGACUGUCAGAGUUGGGGUCACACAGGCUGCUGCGCCAGGCACCUGAGGACUGGGCUGCUUAUCAGGAGGGUCAGCUAGUCAGUUGGGUGGGCAUGGGGCAGGCCUUGGACACAAAGGAAGACGUGGACAGAGUGGAUGGUGGGCCUGAUUCCGGAGGCCACUGGGAUUUCCAGACCUGGGAUCAGGACAAGGGAUGUCUCCCUUCAUCCAUGGACUUAAACCCUGAGGAAUGUCCUGACUCAGCCUUUUCACUAAAUGACCUUGGGCGAAUUAUGGACCCUCUUAGAGCCUCACCUGUCAAUAGGGAAUAAGAAUUCUUAGGCCCCAGGUGGUUAUCGCAGCAUCGGCUCCAAUGCAAGAAGCACUUAGUCUGAAGAGGACACGCAAGGAACUGCAGGAUCUCAUGCACAUCUCGCGGGCCCGGAAGCCAGCAUUCAUCCUGGGCUCCAUGAGGGACGAGAAGCGGACCCACGACCACCUGCUGUGCCUGGACGGAGGAGGAGUGAAAGGCCUCGUCAUCAUC
rnacentral:sRNA from 1 species